ACUAUGCUUGGCCCUAAACCUCAGUAAUUAGAUAACAAAACUACUCGCCAGAAUACUACAAGCAACAGCUUGAAACUCAAAGGACUUGACGGUGCUUUACAUCCCCCUAGAGGAGCCUGUUCCAUAAUCGAUAAACCCCGAUCCACCCUACCCUCUCUUGCUCAGCCUAUAUACCGCCAUCUUCAGCAAACCCUAAUGAAGGCCACAAAGUGAGCGCAAACGCCGCCGCCGCGAAUACGUUAGGUCAAGGUGUAGCCCAUGAGACGGUAAAAAAUGGGCUACAUUUUCUGUUUCAGAAAACCCACGAAAACCCUUAUGAAACUUAAGGGUCCAAGGAGGAUUUAGCAGUAAAUUAAGAAUAGAGUGCUUAAUUGAACCAGGCCAUAAAGCGCGCACACACCGCCCGUCACUCCUCUCAAAUAUAUUUAAGGAAUAUCCUAACUAAACGCCCUAAUAUUUAUAUAGAGAGGAUAAGUCGUAACACGGUAAGCGUACUGGAAGGUGCGCUUGGAUAAAU
rnacentral:rRNA from 1 species